CUUCUGACUGAGAGAGCUUCUGACUGAGAGAGCUUCUGGACCGGACUGAGAAGUCAAUUCUGGAUAAGAUGGGGCCAUGUGACCAUUUUUCCCAACCUCGCUCUGCUGAUGUGCAAAUGUCAUUUAAUUCUGUGAUUUGCAAUUCAAUAAUGCCCAACAGAACAAACCCAGGGAGGCAGUGGAAUGGGCUGUGUCCUUUAUAACCUAGUCAGCAUCUAUAGCUGUUCUUCUCAGUGGUUCUGUCCUCGGGGGAGGGGGGUGGAUUUGUUAAUACUGGGCUAACAUGAUAUGACAUGGAGAAAGGCAGCCAGGCUACUUAUUUAAACAAAACAAAAUGAAAACUGCACUCAGAGCUGGGCAUGGUGGUGCAUGCCUUUGAUCCUAGCACUCAAGAGACAGAUCUCUUAGGCCAGCCUGGUCUACAGAGCAAGAUCCAGGAAAGCUAGGGCUACACAGAGUGGGGUAGGGCACACAAGCUGCUCUUAGUAGAUGUGGGGAAAACUGGGGUGGGUAGAUGGGGUGCUAUGUAGUAGAGAUACCAAGACUUCAUAAGAGGAAGAAGGAAGACAGGAAAAAGCUGGGCAAAGUGAUGCAUAUCAUUAAUUCCAGCACUGGUGAAGUAGAGACAGGGUGAGUUCAAGUGCUUUUAUUCUCUCUAGUCAAAAUGUUUAAAAGUUACUUUUCCUGUAAGUCUGUCUUAACCUUAUGGCUCCAAUCACUCAUUUCCUCAACAUUUUUUAUAACCUGUAAGUCAUAUAAUUUUCUUCUUGAUUUAUCAUCUGUGCUAAUUUUAAAAUCACAACAGUGUGAGAAUGAAUACAGUGUGCUGCACAUAUUUGGUACUUAGUGUCUGCUCC
ensembl:antisense Gm17058 predicted gene 17058